rnacentral:lncRNA from 1 species
GAGGAACCACCCAAGGAAAAUAAAGAUGAAACUACGGAACAACCAACGGAAGAAGCGCCACAAUUGGAGAAAGAAACAAAAGUGCCAAAUGAAUGGAGGACGAUCAAAUAUCACCCUCUUGAACAGGUAAUUGGAGACGUCGGAGGAAAGGUUAGUACCCGAAACUCUCUUAAGAACACUUUAGGACACACUUCUUAAGAGCUCACGUUCUCACUUGGCAACACUAGUUUAAGUCAUUACUUCUUUNN